GGCCGCCUGGCGAAAUGGCAUCGCGUCUGACUACGACCUUUUCUGGGGUAAUGGCGAUCAGGAGAUUGUAGGUUCGAUCCCUACGGUGGUCA